rnacentral:rRNA from 1 species
GAAUCAACGCUGGCGGCGUGCCUCAGACAUGCAAGUCGAACGCGAAAGUCCCCUUCGGGGGACAAGUAGAGUGGCGCACGGGUGAGUAACACGUAGGUAAUCUACCUUUGGAUGGGGAAUAACAACCGGAAACGGUUGCUAAUACCGCAUAAUGCAGCGGCACCUAAUGGUGACAGUUGUUAAAGCGGGGGAUCGAAAGACCUCGCGUCUAAAGAGGAGCCUGCGGCGGAUUAGCUAGUUGGUAAGG